ACUAGGAUGGCAGAGCCCGGCAAUUGCGAAAGGCCUAAGCCCUUUUACCCAGAGGUUCAAGUCCUCUUCCUAGUU
rnacentral:tRNA from 1 species